rnacentral:RNase_P_RNA from 1 species
CGAGGCGGCCGGACGGUCGCGCGUCGGCGGGCAACCGCCGGCGUGAGGAACGUCCGGGCUCCCAGGCGCAGGGUAGCGGGUAACGCCCGUCCGCCGCGAGGCGAGGACCAGCGCCACAGAGACGAGUCCGUCGCCGGGCAACCGGCGGCGGGGUGAAACGCGGCAAGCUCUACCCGGAGCAAGGCCAAGUAGGAGGGCGUGUCCCGGUUCGCCGGGGCAGCGGCGCGCCGCCGUGGACCCUCGGGUCGGCCGCAUGAGCCGCCGGGCAACCGGCGGCCCCAGAUGGAUGACCGUCGCCGUGCCUUCGGGCGCGGUACAGAACCCGGCGUACAGGCCGCCUCGCUGG